GAUGAAGAACGCAGCGAAAUGCGAUAAGUAAUGUGAAUUGCAGAAUUCAGUGAAUCAUCGAAUCUUUGAACGCACCUUGCACCCUUUGGACUGCUCCAAAGGGUAUGCUCGUUUGAGUGUCAUUGUACUCUCACACUCUCUGAUCCUUUGUAUUUGGGGAGCAGUGGACUUGGGUGCUUGCUGCUUCCUUGUGGCUCACCUGAAAUGCAUCAGUGCAUCUCUCGAUUGGACAUAGUACGGCGUGAUAAGUGUCUUCGCCGGCACCUCAUAUGAGGGUGGCCGAUCGGGAGCUCUGUGCUUUCAAACCGUCUUCGGACAACGCUGACAACUUGGCCUCAAAUCGAGUAGGACUACCCGCUGAACUUAAGCAUAUCAAUAAGCGGAGGA
rnacentral:misc_RNA from 1 species